UGUACUAAGCAUUGAGAUUCCUCAGUGGAUUACCUGCGCGUGUCUUUGCAUAUAUUUCAAAAAUGUUUUGAAAUUUUACCCGCUAUUACAUAUUUCCCCGGUAAACAAUAGGACACUACAGUUUUCAUUAUAGCCCUGAGAUUAUGUUGAACUUUGUAAUGCAUCAAGUGCUAAUGUUAAAAUCAUAUGUGGAUUGACAAUUGUGUACUAGUAUAUAACAUUUUCAGUUCAACCUUUUUUUUUCUCUAUGAAUUUUUUUUUGUAGAAUCAGAACCAUACAAGCACCUGCAGCACAGCCUAGUCAUUUGACAUAAGGUCAAAAAGCUUAACAUCUCUUUCAGAUAUUGCCAAGACAUCAGGAUGCAGAGGACUGUUGCAAUGUAUACGGCCUAUUUUGAAUUAUUUUUAGUGUUGCUGCAGUACUUGUAAAGUCAGUGUCGAGCAUCUGUUGAAAAGAUGGAUGGGAAUCCUGCACAAAAUCAACAAUAAACAUGUGUGGGCAAGUGGACGGAUGUUAGUAAGAAAUAGAGAUUGGUGUGGGAGUAGAACUGUUGCCAAAAAAGGGCUGUGGAAAACUUUUUUAGCCAUAUACUCCUUCAUUACUGUCCAAUACAGAAAUCCAAUGGAUAUGACGCCUAUUAUAUUAGGAACAUGCUGGCUAUCAAGGACCACAACAACCAUUUUGGAAGGAUGCCAUUUGUUGGACAGGAUGGAGAAGUGUAUGGUUAAGGCCAGGUAUCUAGAAGGACCAAACAGUGGGUUGCAUAUGAAGAGAAAGCACCAAAAGAUUUUAAAUAUAUAUUAGGGCCAGCUGCCAAGCAAAGCUGUUGAUUGCGAAUUACUCCUUCAUUCUGUGACAUAUUGCGGCUGCUGGUCAAGGCAUAUGGAUGAUGUCGAUGCUACAAAGUAAAACAAAAUAUUAUUCCUUCUCUAUCUAGCAGUACCUCAUCGUUGUUGUAGGGUGGACAUCAGCAAUUGGUGGCCAACACUCCUAGAAUAUACAUAAACAUGCACUUACUUUGUUCACUGGCCUAGUUUGGUUAAACUUGUACUGGCAGUUUGUGUUCUUACAAUUGGUGCAUGGUCUCCGCUUGCACACACAACUUUUACACUUCCCCCUGUUAUCACAAAGACAACAGCUCUACAAAAACAAAACGAGAUGUUUGAAUUGGAUUUUGUUUCCCUUGUUUAGCUGUAUAUGGGGUUAUGUAUUGUUAAAUGUUAUGAUAUAAUUUCAUUUUUCAAUCUGGGGAUUUUAUCAUUCAUGAAAUAUGCAUGUUUUUAAAUGUUGUUCUUUAUACUUCUUGAAUUAUAGAUUUUGAUAUCCAAAUAAUAUCCACAUGAACUCGUUUAUGAAUAAAACUUAUCUUUUGGAAUAUAUGAUUUUCUUAUGA